rnacentral:rRNA from 1 species
GAUGAACGCUGGCGGCAUGCCUAAUACAUGCAAGUCGAGCGAACGGAGGAGAAUCUUGCUUCUCUGAUGUUAGCGGCGGACGGGUGAGUAACACGUGGAGAACCUACCUAUAAGACUAGGGUAACUUCUGGAAACCGGAGCGAGUACCGGAUAAUAUUUUCAACCGCAUGGUUCAAAAGUGAAAGACGGUCUUGCUGUCAAGUAUAGAUGGAACCGCGCUGCAUUAGCUAGUUGGUAAGGUAACGGCUUACAAAGGCAACGAUGCAUAGCCGACCUGGGAGAGUGACCGGCCACACUCGGACUGGGAGACGGUCCACACUCCUACGGGGAGCAGCCGUAGGGACUCUCGCGCAACGGCCGAGAGCCUGACUGAGCAACGCCGCAUAGGCGAUGAAGGUCUUCCGGUCUGAAAACUGUGUGAUUAGGGAACAACAUCUGCGUAUGUAGCUGUAGACACCUUGACGGUACCUAAUCAGAAAGCAACGGCUAACUACGUG